UGCACACCGUGGUCAAAUGCUCAGGCUCCGUGGUAGUUGAUUAUGCACCACGGAUGUUUGAGCAUUUACAAUGGUGUCUA
rnacentral:pre_miRNA from 12 species